rnacentral:rRNA from 1 species
AGUUUGAUCCUGGCUCAGAUUGAACGCUGGCGGCAUGCGUUACACAUGCAAGUCGAACGGUAACGCGGGGCAACCUGGCGACGAGUGGCGAACGGGUGAGUAAUAUAUCGGAACGUGCCCAGUAGUGGGGGAUAGCCCGGCGAAAGCCGGAUUAAUACCGCAUACGACCUACGGGUGAAAGCGGGGGAUCGCAAGACCUCGCGCUAUUGGAGCGGCCGAUAUCAGAUUAGGUAGUUGGUGGGGUAAAAGCCUACCAAGCCGACGAUCUGUAGCUGGUCUGAGAGGACGACCAGCCACACUGGGACUGAGACACGGCCCAGACUCCUACGGGAGGCAGCAGUGGGGAAUUUUGGACAAUGGGCGCAAGCCUGAUCCAGCCAUGCCGCGUGCGGGAAGAAGGCCUUCGGGUUGUAAACCGCUUUUGCCAGGGAAGAAAUCUUCUGAGCUAAUACCUCGGGAGGAUGACGGUACCUGAAGAAUAAGCACCGGCUAACUACGUGCCAGCAGCCGCGGUAAUACGUAGGGUGCGAGCGUUAAUCGGAAUUACUGGGCGUAAAGCGUGCGCAGGCGGUCUUGCAAGACAGGUGUGAAAUCCCCGGGCUUAACCUGGGAACUGCACUUGUGACUGCAAGGCUGGAGUACGGCAGAG